rnacentral:rRNA from 1 species
CUACGGGUUGCUGCAGUGAGGAAUAUUGCACAAUGGGGGAAACCCUGAUGCAGCAACGCCGCGUGGAGGAUGACGCAUUUCGGUGUGUAAACUCCUUUUAUAUGUCAAGAAAAUGACGGUAGCAUAUGAAUAAGCACCGGCUAACUCCGUGCCAGCAGCCGCGGUAAUACGGAGGGUGCAAGCGUUAUUCGGAAUCACUGGGCGUAAAGGACGCGUAGGCGGGUUUGCAAGUCAGGUGUGAAAUCCUAUGGCUCAACCAUAGAACUGCACUUGAAACUGCGAACCUAGAGUAUGGAAGGGGCAGAUGGAAUUAGUGGUGUAGGGGUAAAAUCCGUAGAUAUCACUAGGAAUACCAAAAGCGAAGGCGAUCUGCUGGGACAUUACUGACGCUAAGGCGUGAAAGCGUGGGGAGCAAACAGGAUUAGAUACCCUAGUAGUC